rnacentral:rRNA from 1 species
UGGACGAAAGUCUGAUGGAGCAACGCCGCGUGAGUGAAGAAGGCCUUCGGGUCGUAAAGCUCUGUUGUUAGGGAAGAACAAGUAUCGGAGCAACUGCCGGUACCUUGACGGUACCUAACCAGAAAGCCACGGCUAACUACGUGCCAGCAGCCGCGGUAAUACGUAGGGAGCGAGCGUUGUCCGGAUUUAUUGGGCGUAAAGGGCGUGUAGGCGGCCUGUUAAGUCUGAAGUGAAAAUCCAGGGCUCAACCCUGGAACUGCUUCGGAUACUGAUGGGCUUGAGUGCUCUAGAGGGUAGUGGAAUUGCCGGUGUAGCAGUGAAAUGCGUAGAGAUCGGCAGGAACACCAGUGGCGAAGGCGACUGCCUGGGGAGUAACUGACGCUGAGGCGCGAAAGCUGGGGGAGCAAACGGGAUUAGAUACCCCGGUAGUCCCAGCCGUAAACGAUGAGUGCUAGGUGUAGCGGGUAUCGACCCCCGCUGUGCCGCAGUUAACGCAUUAAGCACUCCGCCUGGGGAGUA